rnacentral:lncRNA from 1 species
UGUCAUUUAGGAGAGAACUUAGCUAACUAUAGGUCACUUUUUAUUAAAUAGGUCAUUUUGGAGCUAACUAAGCUAAUUAUGACAUUUUGUAGGAUAACUAGCCAAUUUAGCCUUUCUUGGAUGAGUCUAGUCUACAUAGAAGAAGAGAAAGAGAAGAAGAAGUAAAAGAAGGAGGAGGAGGAGGUGGAGGAGAAGGAGAAGGAAGAGGAGAAGAAGAAGAAAAGAAGAAGAAGGAGAAGGAGGAUGAAGGAGGAAGAAGAAGGAGAAGGAGGAGCUCCUUCUCC